UACGUAGGGAGCAAGCGUUGUUCGGAUUUACUGGGCGUAAAGGGCGCGUAGGCGGCUAAUUAAGUCAGCUGUGAAAUCUCCGAGCUUAACUCGGAACUGUCAGCUGAUACUGAUCUGCUAGAGUGCGGAAGGGGCAAUCGGAAUUCUUGGUGUAGCGGUGAAAUGCGUAGAUAUCAGGAGGAACACCAAUUGCGAAGGCAGCUCGCUGGGACGUUACUGACGCUGAGACGCGAAAGCGUGGGGAGCAAACAGG
rnacentral:rRNA from 1 species